CACGUAGGGGGCAAGCGUUGUCCGGAAUUAUUGGGCGUAAAGAGCUCGUAGGCGGCUCGGUAAGUCAGGUGUCAAAUCCUCAGGCUCAACCUGGGGCUCCACCUGAUACUGCUGUGGCUAGAGUCCGGUAGGGGAGCGUGGAAUUCCUGGUGUAGCGGUGAAAUGCGCAGAUAUCAGGAGGAACACCGGUGGCGAAGGCGGGUCUCUGGGCCGAUACUGACGUGAGGAGCGAAAGCGUGGGGAGCGAACAGG
rnacentral:rRNA from 1 species